rnacentral:rRNA from 1 species
UACGAAGGGGGCUAGCGCUGCUCGGAAUCACUGGGCGUAAAGCGCACGUAGGCGGAUUGCUAAGUCAGGGGUGAAAUCCUGGAGCUCAACUCCAGAACUGCCUUUGAUACUGGUGAUCUUGAGUCCGGGAGAGGUGAGUGGAAUUCCCAGUGUAGCGGUGAAAUGCGUAGAUAUUGGGAGGAACACCAGUGGCGAAGGCGGCUCACUGGACCGGUUCUGACGCUGAGGCGCGAAAGCGUGGGGAGCAAACGGG